CCCGCCACUGCACUCCAGCCUGGGCGACAGAGCGAGACUCCGUCUCAAAAAAAAAAAAAAAAAAAAAUUACAUUUUAAAUAAAAUCACACAGAAACUCUCAUGACAUAUAUUAAGGGAACUUUCUAAAAAUAUGUUUUAAAUUUCAUGGCUAAAUUCCCGCUGGCAAAAAAAAACAGGAACAUUUUGAGAAACAAUAAAAAUAAUAGCUGCAACUGAUUUAAACUUCAAAUAUGUUUAAAUCAGUGAGGCCACAAUGAUGCACAAGGAAAAAAAUGUAUAGAGCACUUUAAGAGAAUGUCAGGUGAUAUGAUUUGCCUCUGUGUCCCCACCCAAAUUUCACCUUGAAUUGUAAUAAUCCCCACUUGUCAAGGAUGGGACCGAGUGGAGAUAAUUGAAUCAUGGGGGUGGUUCCCCUCAUGCUGUUUUUGUGAUAGUGAGUUCUCAUGAGAUUUGAUGGUUUUAUAAGGGACUUUUCCCCCCUUCAUGCUCCUCUCAUUCUCUCUCCUGCCGCCCUGUGAAGAAGUCCCUUCCACCAUGAUUGUAAGUUUCCUGAGACCUCCCCAGCCAUGCAGAACUAUGAGUCAAUUAAACGUAUUUUCAUUAUAAAUUACCCAGUCUUGGGUAUUUCUUCACAGCAGCGUGAGAACGGACUAAUACACUACGUUAAAAAAUCACAUUAUGUUUUUCCUGUAUGAGCUGUACCUGAGGUAACAUAAUUAAUGAGGGAAAGCUUCUCCUUAUCAGAGUUUUUCUAACUCAUAGAGGAAGCAGGAAUUAUAGAAUUAUAAUGUCACCAUAAUGAAAUAAUAGAUCUAAUCAAUGAUCCCCAGGGCCCUUAUGUCACAAAAAGAGAGACACACACAAUUUUCACAUGCCUUUGAUGGAACCACCUGUAAAGUACUCCUGCCCUAAAACUGAACCUAAAUUUGAUCAACCCUCUAAUUCCAAAUACCCUUUACAGUAAAUAUAGUAGUCGUAGGGACAAGUUAAAUGACACCAGUGUAGUGCAAUCAGCAAGAUUCACAAUAUGAGAAACUCUGCCCUGGUUUCCUUCAACAAAUAAAUUGCAUGGAGGAAGAAAAGAGAGACAGGGAACAUACAGAUUUAAGAAACAUAGCAAGGAAUUUAAAAUGCGUCUUUUAUUUGGAUCCUAACAAAAUUAUUUUUAGGUAUGGUAGUGUUACUAUUUUUUUAAGUAGUUAACUUUUAGAGACAUAAACAGGCACUAUUCAUAGGUAUUUAAUUUAAAAUAAUCCAGGGUUGAAUGAGAGCUUUUAAAGAUGAAACAAGGUUGACCCUAAAAUAAAAAUUAUUGGAGCUCGGUCAUGGCUAUAUAGAAGAUUUGUUAUGCUAUUCUAUUUUUGUGUAUGUUUGAAAUUGUCUUAAUAAAAAAUUAUUGGAA
rnacentral:lncRNA from 1 species